UGCUCAGCUGUGAAAAAAAAAAAAUAAAUGGUGGUUUUCUUCUACAGCAGAUCACGGUCUAAAAGCUCCUUCCUCCCUUUCCUAUGCCUUCAGCAGCAUGUGUUCCCCACCCUGCCCUGCGGCUAUCACGAUGCAGCAUACGAGCGUUUGAUUUCUUCGUUAGCACUGCUGCCAUGUACCCGGUUAUUACCUGCAGAUGUGUGUGUGCAAGCAAGGGCUCUGCUGGGAUGCAGCAGAGGAGCACUGUCUAAACAGCGAGGUUUCCUGGAAGGAGGCAGCACACACUGCGAAUUGGGUCUGUUCCCAGAGCAUCUUAACUUGCAAGUGAUUAGCUGUUAAUUAUUAUGCUAUAAAUUACUUAAUAAAUGAGUAUUCUUCACAGCACCUAUUGUACCCCACGACAUCUGCUCAGCUGUGUGAAAUACACAUAAUUACUGGCACAGAGAUGUAAUUAUAGCUCUUCCUCCACAUUCUUGCACAGCUACCAGCCAUGUCGUGGGUGCUGGGUCCUGCAGGAUGCAUGGGUGGUGUGCAGGCAGUGCCACCUUGUCCCCAUAUCCAGAAGUCCUCCCAGGUGCUUUGGAGUGACUCCACCACAAAGAACCUUCUUCUUACUAAUACAAUCCUACCAAAAUGGCUUUAAGAGCAUCCUAAGGACCUUGUCGCACUCUCCUCCUUUCCCUGCUGUGAGGGGCAAUGGUACUGCAGCACAGUUUGCAGUAUCACGACCUCUUUGCACUCCGGAGGCAACACCUGUUUGGAUCAUGGGAAAGACCUGACACGGUUCCAAAGGAGAAUGAAGGCGCCUGAGAUAGAGGGUUUAGAUGACUUGGGAAGCCUCAGCAGUGAAUUAAAGCCCAAUCCACUGAAACUGUGAGUGCUUGCUCUCCUGCUACAGCUUCUUCAUACAUUGCAAAGGAUCAGGAAGCUAUCAACGAGGAUAAUGAGCACUAGAUAUUACAACAGGGAUUUCUUACAUUGCUAGCAAGAGAAAAAGCUGUACUGCCCCUCUGCUGGCAGAAAACAGAAUAGAAGAUAUUUCCAGCAAUUAUUUUUCUUCCAAAAGGGUCCAGGCAACAGCAUCCAUGUAAGUGCACGUUGCUGACAGUGAGGCCGAUGCUUCUGGUUUUGUUAGAGCAAACAAGACCCUGAGAAUGGUCCUGAACACAGCUCUGAAAGGCACUGCUCACGUCUAACACACCAAAACCAUGCAGAACUGAUAGCAGGACAAACUCGGUGUUUGGCAGCCUACCUCUGUUAAACGGGUGCUAAAUAACAGUGCCAUCACUGCACAGCUGCUUGCAUGCCAGCGUGGGCACCCACGCUGAGGCACCGAACCAGCUGCACGUGCUUGUUCUUCAGAUGAACAGCACUGGGUUUUCUGCAGGGCCGAGCCACGUGUGCCUGGAAAAGUGCCUCAUUCUCCUAUUGGUGUAAAAAUUAGGGAAACGGUGUAUUCUGGAUACCUUUCACGUGGGAUGGUGAUCUGGUGGUAUAAAAUGGGAAACGCUGCAUCAUGCAGGGCAUGCGGCAAGCCGAGCCAGCUUGAAAGUCUUUGGGCAUUCAGGGGAGAAGGGUUCACCAGCCUUCAGACCCACACUGGCACUCGCUCACUACCUGAUUCCAGAAGUGCUAACAAAGCAGUAAAGUGGCUCAAAGCACUAUGCAAUUUUUCUAAACUUCUUUAUUCUCUAAGCGUGAAGAAGCAGAAAUUAUUUGUUGUUUAAUCAUUUGUUCAGCAGGGCAAUAG